rnacentral:sRNA from 1 species
GCCGGGCAUGGUGGCACAUGCCUGUAAUCCCAGUGGCUCGGGAAGCUGAGGUAGGAGGAUUGCGAGUUCAAAGCCUGCCUCAGCAAUGGUGAGGCACUAAACAACUCAGUUAGACCCUGUUUCUA